AUUGAACGCUGGCGGCAUGCCUUACACAUGCAAGUCGAACGGCAGCACGGGUGCUUGCACCUGGUGGCGAGUGGCGAACGGGUGAGUAAUACAUCGGAACGUACCUUAUCGUGGGGGAUAACGCAGCGAAAGCUGUGCUAAUACCGCAUACGCCCUGAGGGGGAAAGCGGGGGAUCGAAAGACCUCGCGCGAUUAGAGCGGCCGAUGCCUGAUUAGCUUGUUGGUGGGGUAAAAGCCCACCAAGGCGACGAUCAGUAGCUGGUCUGAGAGGACGAUCAGCCACACUGGGACUGAGACACGGCCCAGACUCCUACGGGAGGCAGCAGUGGGGAAUUUUGGACAAUGGGGGCAACCCUGAUCCAGCAAUGCCGCGUGAGUGAAGAAGGUCUUCGGGUUGUAAAGCUCUUUUGUCAGGGAAGAAACACCGGCUCUAACACAGUCCGGGAAUGACGGUACCUGAAGAAUAAGCACCGGCUAACUACGUGCCAACAGCAGCCGCCG
rnacentral:rRNA from 1 species